rnacentral:rRNA from 1 species
AUUGAACGCUGGCGGCAGGCCUAACACAUGCAAGUCGAGCGGCAGCGGGAAGUAGCUUGCUACUUUGCCGGCGAGCGGCGGACGGGUGAGUAAUGUCUGGGAAACUGCCUGAUGGAGGGGGAUAACUACUGGAAACGGUAGCUAAUACCGCAUAACGUCGCAAGACCAAAGAGGGGGACCUUCGGGCCUCUUGCCAUCAGAUGUGCCCAGAUGGGAUUAGCUAGUAGGUGGGGUAAUGGCUCACCUAGGCGACGAUCCCUAGCUGGUCUGAGGGGAUGACCAGCCACACUGGAACUGAGACACGGUCCAGACUCCUACGGGAGGCAGCAGUGGGGAAUAUUGCACAAUGGGCGCAAGCCUGAUGCAGCCAUGCCGCGUGUAUGAAGAAGGCCUUCGGGUUGUAAAGUACUUUCAGCAGGGAGGAAGGUGUUGAGGUUAAUAACCUCAGCAAUUGACGUUACCCGCAGAAGAAGCACCGGCUAACUCCGUGCCAGCAGCCGCGGUAA